AUGUACAAUGAUGUUGUGACAAGUGUUCGAACAAGUGAUGUCGACACCGAUGACUUCCCGAUUAAGAUAGGACUGCAUCAGGGGUCAGCUUUGAGCCCUUAUCUUUUUGCAUUGGUGAUGGAUGAGGUCACAAGGGGUAUACAAGGAGAUAUCCCAUGGUGUAUGCUCUUUGCGGAUGAUGUGGUGCUAGUUGACGAUAGUCGGACGGGGGUAAAUAGGAAGUUAGAGUUAUGGAGACAAACCUUGGAAUCGAAAGGGUUUAGGCUUAGUAGAACUAAAACCGAGUACAUGAUGUGCGGUUUCAGUACUACUAGCUGUGAGGAGGAGGAGGUUAGCCUUGAUGGCCAGGUGGUACCUCGGAAGUACACCUUUCGGUAUUUGGGGUCAAUGUUGCAGGAGGAUGGGGGUAUUGAUGAAGAUGUGAACCAUCGAAUCAAAGCCGGAUGGAUGAAGUGGCGCCAAGCUUCUGGCAUUCUCUGUGACAAGAGAGUGCCACAAAAGCUAAAAGGCAAGUUCUACAGGACGGCGGUUCGACCCGCAAUGUUGUAUGGCGCGGAGUGUUGGCCGACUAAAAGGUGA
rnacentral:rRNA from 1 species